CUCCGAGGCUCCCGGGCUUCGCGAGGACGCGUUUGCAGCCCCCUCUGCCUGUCCUCUCGGGCGGCCGAGGCGAAGGAGCCGCCUUGCUGGGGCUUCGUGGUGGUGUAUUUCAUAUUGGGGCUCUUUUCGGGGUUUGUAAUUUGGCCGUGGGUAGGUAAUUGGCUGGAGCAGGGCGGCAGGGCGCGGCAGCCAAUCAGCGUGCGGCUUCUAUAGGGCUUGAGUUAUUAGACGCUGAUCUCAAAACAUCGUUCAUCAGACACCAAGGAGAGGCCAACAGAUGAGGGGAGCCAUUUUUCUGCAAUGGAAUUAAAUGGCCAAGUGGGUUUUUCCUUUGUUGCAAAUGGGGAAUGUUUUUCCUUUGACUCCACCAUCCAGUUCAGGACGCCUCAGUGUUGUGUUUAACAUUUGUCAACAGGCUAAAGGACUCACAGUUGGAAGAAUGGAGAAGACUUUUUAAAAAGAUCUGGAUUUUUCCUUAUGACUUGGAAUCCAUCUUUGUCUUGUAUAACUAGGUCAUAGCACACCAUUAAUGUCAGCAGUUAACAAUUUUGAAUUCCAAAAAACCUAAGUAAAUGACAUAUUUAAUUUUUUUUCCUUUUUUUCUUGGGUGGGUGGGGGGAGCUUGGAGCUGUCUUAAUCUGUAUUCUCUUGACUGAACAAUAAAUUUUUAAAUAUAUAUAGUUUCCUCUAUUAAACACUUAAACCUGGCCAUCUUAUUAACUCCUUCUGCUCUCUUUUUAACAAGGUAAUGUUUUAAAUGUAUAGUUUUAGGAUUAGCGAAAUGGCAGCAACAAAAAAUUGUAAGCAGUUGUUACUUUUAAGUUUUUAAAAACCUUUUACAUUGUAAGUACCCAAUCCAUUCUGUCCUUACGCAGUGCAGUUUUCAUGUUAAUGUUGCUGAGAUGUCCUUAAUUUUCUGAACCUUCAUCUGCAUGUAUGUCUUUGUCGCUCUUGUCUAAUAUAAGCCAGUUAAAAUGCUUUUAGACGAUUUUGCUUUUAUAAAGCUGAGGUUUUUUAGCUUUAAGCUUUUGAAAAUGUUUAAAGCAAUAAAUGCUAGUCAGCUUUCUUCCCAGUAACAUGUACACGUUCUUUGAAAAUCGAUCUAUUUGAAGAAAAACAGCUCUGUUUUUCUCGUCUUGCUGGGGGGGUGGGUGAGGGAAAGGAAGACCUUCUCUUUGUGUACUGAGUCUAAAGCCGUCACAGGAAACUAGAUUAAAACUGGAAAACAAGUCCUAGCUGGUUCGAGCCAAACACCAACGUUAACUCGCGGGUAUUUUCUAUGGUGGUUGGGAUGGCCGUGCGUCUUUUGCCUUUUGUUUGAUUUGACUGUGUAUUUUCGCCUUUUGUCUCUUAAUGACGAUCACACCAUUGCUAUAUCCAGAGCAGUAAACAGUCCUCAGCGAAGCCGCCUUUUGCCAACCCAACCCUGGAAAGUUUGCAGAAGUGGAAGGAGCAGAAAAUGCCAUGAGAGUGUAACUUACAAAAAGCUUGAUCUUCCAGACUCCAUGGCACCGGGCUGAGCGGGCUCUUGGCUGGAGAAAGGGCGACGGCCAGGUACCCCCAGAGUGACCACCCUCCUUUGGACAGCAGAAUCAGGCCUAAUUUCACUCUGACAAUGCUCUAAGGAAUUCCUGGUGACUAGAAGAUGAAUGACUCGGGCCCUCAGAACACCUCACAGGUAAGGGAGCAGGGCUCCCCUUGCAUGUGGGCACCCGGCUUAACUGGCCAAGGCCCGGCCCAGCUGCCUCUGAGGAAGCUCUCAGCAGCUGGCCUGGCUCCUGGGUAUUUUUAGGUACAGAUCCAGUCCCUUCACCACCACUGGAGCUGGGUCCAAAUCAAACACACUCCAGGCCGGGUGGGGCUGGGGUGCUGCCAGCCCCUCGGCCAGGCGGGGGGUGGGCAGGCCGGCUGGGCCUGCGUCAGCUGCUGUCCCUUGCUGCCGGCAGGGCUGGGAAGCCUCGCUCUCCCCCUCCCCCUCCGUGUUGUGGAAGCCAUUCGUUCUGCCUUAAGUUGGGAUCGUAGCCCUCUUUCUCGGGUGAAGAAAAUAGAAACCCAGGUCCAAGGAUUUUGAGGAAAGUCAGCAUGUGUGAUGAACUCCCAAGUGACUGUUUGCUCAGAGGGGGAUGACCCUCCUAAGUGAAUUCUCCCCCCAGCCCCUCUCUUUCCCUUCUGUACCUCCCCUAGCUCAGAGGCCCUGAUUUAGGGUCAGGUCCAGGGUUGGCUGCAAAGGUAAGUGGUCUUCCGCUCACUCCAAGGCCCCUGCCAGCCUCAAGCUGCAACUGUGAGAAGAUGACCCCCAGCCGAUCCUCACCAGCCAAUCCCAGCUCCUCCCUGGUCACCAGAGAGAGCUUGAGGGCCUGGCUUUGGCUGGGCUCCUGUUCUGUUCAGGAGUCCCCUGUCUGACACCCGCUCUUGAGCCUGGCAGCAAGGCCCUCGAUGAUCUAACCCCAGUUACCUUGACAACCAUGUCUGGCCUCCCUCCUCGCUCCCCAGGCACUGUGGAAUCUGAUGGGGUUUCCCGGCCACCGUGCGUUUGUUCUGCUCCCAUUGGACCGCCCUCAACACUGCCCAGUCUUGGCUCAACCUUCCCUGAACCCUACAGGGUUCGGUCUCUAAAGCGUUCACAGCUCCCAAACGCUUUUAAGAGACUGCUCCCCCAAGGCCGAGCUCCCUGCAGGCAGGAACACAGUUGCCUCUCAAUAAUAAACUUGUGUGGUAAUAAAGGAA